rnacentral:pre_miRNA from 1 species
UACCCAUUGCAUAUCGGAGUUGUGAUUUCUCAAAAACACCUCCUGUGUGCAUGGAUUACA